UUUUAAAGAAACAAAUUUAAUCGAUUUCCAAGGCUUGAGUGUGAUAAAAAAAAAAAAAAUUAAAAGGUAAACUUCACCAUGCAGGAAGAAGCAUAGGAAAAGAGAGAGAGAAAAGAACAAAGAAAAAAAAAAGAAUAGCAAGUCUCUCCAAGUACUAUGGGAACAAACAGAAAGUGGAAUUAGGAAAAAAGAGAGGAAGAAGGUCUGAGUAGUCCAAGGGACACGGGAGGCCAGUUGGGAAGACUGCCCGGGCGAGACCAGGAAGAUCAAGGCCACAGUGAAUCAUGAUCCCAUCCCUCUGCUCAACCUGAAUUGUACUGCUGCUGGCGAGAGAGAUCUGGUUGACCCUUAGACAUGGCAAGGCGAGAGGUGAGGUCCAUCAGGUUGACCUUGGUCCAUCGCUCACAGCCGACAUCUCUCUCAAAAUAAAUAAACAAAUC
rnacentral:lncRNA from 1 species